rnacentral:tRNA from 1 species
CAGAAAUUAGUUUAAGAGUUAAGAUUUUAAUUUUGGAGAUUAAAGAUGCUAAGAAGUAUUUCUGA